AUGAGUUUUAAUCAGUUUACUCUAUCGGAAUCAGCAAGCGCAAGUAUCAGGAAUGAUCUUCCAGGAAGUAAUGAUUCUCAAGGCAGUGGCUUCCGGCCAUAUUACCGCGUUGAAAGAAAAUGGGCUCUUGGGCUCCAGUCUCGAGCUCAACCUCGCGCGAAAUUGAUUGAGGUUCUAAAGGCACUUCAGAAAUUAAAUGUCCGUUGGAAGAAGAAUGUGCACUACAACAUGAAAUGCAGGUGGUGCCCUGGGUUUCCUCAAGUCAGUGAUAUGUUGUUAGAUGCCAGCCACAACUUUUUUGAUGACUCUACCAUCAUGAAUAAUGGUGAUGUUAAUAGGAGGCUGCCUGCUGUGAUCAAGUUUGAAAUUAAGCAUUACAAGACCAGGGAUGUCAAGUACCUGCUAGAUAUGCAGAGAGUUACUGGACCACAGCUCCUCUUCCUGGAAUUUUGUGCGGCCUUCCUUACCAACCUUACGGUUCUAUAG
rnacentral:rRNA from 1 species